AACGGAGCUUAGAGAGCUUGCUUUUUAAGCUUAGUGGCGAACGGGUGAGUAACGCGUAUGCAACCUACCCAUAACAGGGGGAUAACACUGAGAAAUUGGUACUAAUACCCCAUAACGCGUAGAGGUCGCAUGGCCUUUACGCCAAAGAUUUAUCGCUGAAAGAUGGCCUCGCGUCUGAUUAGCUAGUUGGUGAGGUAACGGCCCACCAAGGCGACGAUCAGUAGCCGGACUGAGAGGUUGAACGGCCACAUUGGGACUGAGAUACGGCCCAGACUCC
rnacentral:rRNA from 1 species